rnacentral:lncRNA from 7 species
AUAUUUUGGGAAGCUCUUAAAUGAAGUGUUCUGCUGGGAGCGUGGCAGUGGUGCUUCUGUACCAACUGACCGUGGCUGAUGAAGUGUGAAAACUGAUGCCUUCUCCUGUGUCAGCAACAUUCAAUUGGCAGGACUGGGGAAGAGCAAUAGGGAACAAGCUGUCAUUUUUUUCAAUAAGCUGGAAAAACAACAACGAAAACCAAACUGAGUCUGUAUUUAGCAAAUAGAGUUAAAAGGAGAGGGUCCUUUCCCUUCACAUUAACAAGGAGUCAGGACGUGAGGCCUGCACCUGUCUUCACAUUUCUGGGAGAAGUGACUGAAGUUCAGACAGUGAACAAGUAACUGAGAACAAGCAUCAGAUAAACCCAGAAGCUGUGCUGCACCUUUGGGAAGACAUUCUGAUGCACUGAAAGACUUCACUCAUUGGUGUACCUAGAGAAGCUUUCCCUAUGGUUAGUUGCUGGCUCCUGAAGUUUGGGGAAGGGAAGAAAAGGCAUACUGUAUACAUUAUAACAAAUUAUCUGGAGGAUUUAGAGGAGUCUUUUAAGCAUCAGUUCAUAUUCAAGUCUGAUGAUACUUAAUAAUAAUGGCUCCUGUUAAAGGUGGGUGGUAAUUCCAUUUAAUGAAGGUAGUUACUGGUGACAGUCUUUUUCACAGAGCUCUUUUUAACUCCUGCUAUCAUUGCUUUUAUUAUUUCUUUGGCUGUGACACAUGCAUAGAAAUCUAAUUGUAGAUGCUGCUACUUUUCAGGAUAUUUGAACUUGCUUGUUAACCUCUAUGAACAAUAUCAUCCAUUUCUUCCUUUCUGUGCUAAUUACCUACCAACAGGUGCAAUCUCAUGCCAGCAUACUAUUUAGCAGCGCUUCACGUCCUUGCCAACUCAAUGGAUAUAUUCACUG